rnacentral:rRNA from 1 species
GGACGAACGCUGGCGGCGUGCUUAACACAUGCAAGUCGAGCGAGGUCCAACCGGUGGCAACACCGGGGACGACCUAGCGGCGAACGGGUGAGUAACACGUGAGAAACCUGCCCCGAAGUUCGGGAUAACCCGGGGAAACCCGAGCUAAUACCGGAUACCCACUACUGGUCGCAUGGCCGGCUGUGGAAAGAACUUCGCUUCGGGAGGGUCUCGCGGCCUAUCAGCUUGUUGUGGGGUAACGGCCCACCAAGGCAUCGACGGGUAGCUGGUCUGAGAGGACGAUCAGCCACACUGGGACUGAGACACGGCCCAGACUCCUACGGGAGGCAGCAGUGGGGAGUCUUGCGCAAUGGGCGAAAGCCUGACGCAGCAACGCCGCGUGCGGGAUGAAGGCCUUCGGGUUGUAAACCGCUUUCAGUAGGGACGAAAUUGACGGUACCUACAGAAGAAGCCCCGGCCAACUACGUG